GCAUGACCUCAGUUGGUGUCAAGAUUUCAAAAGCCCAUGUAAUACGUCACACAUUCCUGACUCAAAAUCCUUGCCUACCAUGUAAAGGGGUUUGCACGUUACAAAGAGCCUGGAAGAAACGGCCGGGGCACACUCUGAAGAUUUCCCUAAAAUGAAGCUCUCGGUAAGAUAAAAGAACGCCUGCCUCUUUCAUCACGGACAUGUAGAGAGAGAGUGGAUCUGGAAAACAAAUUUAUACUUUUUCUGGAAAUGGGAAUCACUCAUAAAACACUUCAUGAGUUCAAGGUCCCCUUGUUGCCAUUGUGCCUCCUAUUCAUAUGGACUGUGAACAACCCAGAGGUAGUUGGACUAGUGGCAUGUUAUUGGAUGACUCUGCUUCAAAUUUGAAGAAUUUAUGAAAACUCUGAGUGCCAGACAAAAAUAGACAUUAAAAGGGUGUCGGAGUGCAAAGCUCAUUGAAACAACCCCCAGAUGGUUGGAUUUUACUCUAAAAACAAUUCCUGAUAAGAAAAAGACUAACUGAUGUUUUGAUGUCUCAGAAAGGGGCAUCUUUUUAUUUUCAAGUCUUCCUGCUACUAAGGGCAUACUGAUCUCUAGGCGUCUACUUUGGGAUACCUAUUCCCAAACUGCCUAUCAUCUCUUCACUCUUAGGUGGCUCAGCACCAGGUCCUGGAGAACAAGAUGUGAGUUUCUCACCCUUUUGGCUCUUCCAUUACCUCUGCUCCCUAAAACCAUGGCUGCCCAGUAUACUCUGCCUCCUUAUCCUUUAUUUUUUCUGAAAGAUAUUUUUAAAAGAUUCUUAUUUAUUUAUUUAUUUAUUUAUUUAUUUAUUUAUUUAUUUAUUUAUGAGAGAGAGAGACACACACCACAGGCAGCGGGAGAAGCAGGCUCCAUGCAGGGAGCCCGACAUGGGACUUGAUCCCGGGUCUCCAGGGUCAUGCCCUGGGCUGAAGGCAGUGCUAAACCGCUGAGCCACCUGGGCUGCCCUCUGCCUCCUUAUCAACCACAACCAAAGCACCUUCCAUUUGAUAGUUAUUUGAUAGGUAAUGCUUCUGCUCUCCCUCAAAAAAGACUAACUAACAUGAAAAAAAAAAAGGUAUGCUAACAUGAAAACAAAAAAGUGCAAGUUGUCAGGAAAAUUUGAGGAGCCAAAAAUCCUCCCCAUUCCAGGUAAAGAAUAUUUUAAUAAAGGACUCGAUAAAAUAAUGCCAUUUUCUCAUUCUUUUGUUUCCUAAAAUUUAGUCAUUCCCAUGCAAUAUUCGGUAUUUUCGCCCUAUAUCUAUUACUUUUUUAAUAUUAUUUUAAACUGACUUUUAAAGUUUGCAUGGAUUUUAAUGAAAAGGAAACUUUAAAUCACUCCCGUAAAUGGAAAACCAAUAUUGUUUUCCUUAAGUAGAAGAUAUUACAGUCAAUAGAGUAACACAUGCCAUUGAAGUUUAACUAGUUUAAUGUGACAUGCUCAGGGCUUCGAGCCUGAGGUUUAUUCUUUUUAUUAAAAAGGAGUAUUAGUAAGAGUUAGGAAUUCAGGUAGUAUUAGAACCAAAUUGAGAAAUUCCCCUUGAUUUUACCCACAAAGAGUAGUAGAAAAAAUUUAAAAAGGGAAUAUUCCUCUUAAUACUAAGUUCUAUAUUCGAUUUUCUGUCCAUAUAUCAUUUAAAAAAGGAUGAGAUUAAUAUUCAGCAAUUACAGUACAUAAUUAAAGAGAAAAAUGAAACAAACUGUUUCUGCAGGCACAGUCUGCCUCACACUGAUCAUCCCCACAAGACUCUAAGUGAUACAAUUUUCAAGUUAGAAAUGGAAGAACAAAAUCUAAGGUGUUCUAGCGAAGAUCUCACCCCUUCACAUUAGCCCCAUCCUCAGUUGGAGAGAAGGUUCAGAGAGAAGUAACUCUCUCAUUCUUUUGUGUGUGUUAUUUCAGCUGUUUCUGAGCAAACUGGAGACCCUGGAAAACUGACAAGAAGAUGGAACAUAGGGGAUGCAACACUCAAAACUCAGGGAAAUGUGUUGUGCACCUAUUAAACAUAAGAUCUUUCAGUUCUAAUGUGAGGUUAGCUCUAUGUGAAGUUCUUUGUAUUGAUUUGUAAGUUGUGGAACUAACUUGUCUUUCCCUCUUGAAAUCCCACAAAAAUCAGUUGGUUAAAAUACAGAUCAUGUUCUAAAAGACAGUUUAUAGGGAUAUAAAAUGCUGGGACAACCAGAAAUCCCACAUUUUAGAUGUCAGGGCAUUUGAUCCAUUUCUGUGAAGCCCUUUGACUGAUUGAAUGUCUAACUUUGUAAAUUUAAGUGCCUUUUACUCUGGAGAUCUGUAGUUCUUCUUUCAAAAAAUCUUUUUAAGAAAUUGAGAAUUCUCUGAGUUGCUUGACCCUAGUUGAAGUCCAUGGGGCAAUCCAGGUUCUAGCCUUCACUCUAUAAAUGUUAAAUUUAUAACAACUUUCCGUCAUGGGUGCGACUAUGAAUAGUACGAUUUGGGGAUCGUGAAUUUAUGAAUGAACAGGCAGCUUUGAACUCCUGACGGGAGCAAGCACCAUAUGCCAUUCAAAGGUAAUUUUCCUUAGAUUUACAUUUCAUUUAUUCAUCCUGUGCCUCUAAUGCCAAGUGCUGUGUCAGGUCUUGAAAGGAAACAUAACAGUGAAUAGCAGUCCAGAGAAAGAACGAUAAAGCUGACAAAUGGUAGCCUCUUCAAUAAAUCACAGGUUCCACGGAGAGAAGUUGACUGUCAAGCCUACACAUUAGAAAAAGAAAUGUAAGAGGAGGAAAAGAAAACAAUAGAAAGAAACUUGCAAUGACUCAGUGAAUGAGAAAAGUCCAUCACAGGGAAUCCUGAAAAUACAAUAACAAUUAUCAUCAAAUUUUAUGAAGCAAAACUUUAAGAAAUGUUUGCUAAACAGGUCUGAAAAAAAUAAGAAUGGAAAUUAUGUAUAGUGAAGAGAAAAGAGACAAUGUCAGCCUAGGAUUCAAAAAUGUCAAGGUUGGGCAUUUUCAAACAAGGUGGAAUUGAAGUAGGAAGUUGAUGCGUACAAGGGUGGCUAAAGAGGUGGGAGGCAAGAAGGUCCCAAUACAUGCAUAUUCAAAGAGUGACGAGUUACAUUUUCUUGUUCCGUUUUGCUUUAGGAAAAUUCCCACCUUGUCCAGGUUUUGUGGUGUUUGAUUUUUAAAGAUUUAGGGACACCUGGGUGACACAGUGGUUGAGUGUCUGCCUUCGGCUCAGGGCGUGAUCCCGGGGUCCUGGGAUGAGUCCCACAUCGGGCUCCCCACAGGGAACCUGCUUCUCCCUUCUCCCUCUGCCUAUGUUACUGCCUCUCUCUGUGUCUCUCAUGAAUAAGUAAAAUCUUAAAAAAAGAUUAAAGAUUUAGUGCAGCUUUCUUUAAGAGGAAAAAUUCAAAUAUUAUAAAUAGAAAAUUAAGCACGGGACGUUAGAUGUUGUCUUUGACAUUAAGGAGCCCUGUUAUGUAAGCUUCAUUAACCUCACAGUACAUCUGUCUCUGGUCCCCUUUGGAGACUGGUACCCUUUGUGACCGGGAAGAUAAGGUGGACUUUGGGCUGCGGCAUGGGGCAGGUGGCCUAUGAUUCAUCUUCUUGCAUGAGGUGACUUGGGUCAGUGUAUCCUCAGCACUAGAAUGGUAAAUGAGAGAGAGCUGUGAACCUGGAGUGGGCUUAGAAGAUAAAGGAGUUAUUUCUGGUGGAAGUAGUGAUUAUUGUAUUUUAGAAGUGUGCAGGGAUCAGUGAAGCCCCUCCUUUGUCUCAUCUGAGUGGCCAGAUAUACUAGAGAGCGUGCUGGGUACUUGGGAUA
rnacentral:lncRNA from 1 species